rnacentral:rRNA from 1 species
UAGCAUAUCAAUAAGCGGAGGAAAAGAAACUAACAAGGAUUCCCCUAGUAACGGCGAGUGAAGCGGGAAGAGCUCAAAUUUGAAAGCUGGCACCUUCGGUGUCCGCGUUGUAAUCUCGAGAAGUGUUUUCCGUGCUGGACCAUGUACAAGUUCCUUGGAAUAGGACGUCAUAGAGGGUGAAAAUCCCGUACUUGACAUGGACGCCCAGUGCUUUGUGAUACACUCUCCACGAGUCGAGUUGUUUGGGAAUGCAGCUCAAAAUGGGUGGUAAAUUCCAUCUAAAGCUAAAUAUUGGGGAGAGACCGAUAGCGAACAAGUACCGUGAGGGAAAGAUGAAAAGCACUUUGGAAAGAGAGUUAAACAGUACGUGAAAUUGUCGAAAGGGAAGCGCUUGAAGUUAGACAUGCUUGCCGGGAUUCAGCCUUGCUUUUGCUUGGUGCAUUUCCCGGUGUGCAGGCCAGCAUCAGUUUUGUUUGCCGGAUAAGGGUGAGAGGAACGUGGCCCCUCGGGGUGUUAUAGCCUCUCACUGGAUACGGCGGAUGGGACUGAGGACCGCAGUGUGCCUUUAUGGCGGGCCUUCGGGCACCUUCACACUUAGGAUGCUGGCGUAAUGGCUUUAAGCGACCCGUCUUGAAACACGGACCGAGGAGUCUAACAUGUCUGCGAGUCUUUGGGUGGCAAACCCAUGGGCGCAAUGAAAGUGAAUGCAGGUGGGAUCCGCAAGGAGCACCAUCGACCGAACCGGAUCUUCUGUGAUGGUUUUGAGUAAGAGCAUAUAUGUUGGGACCCGAAAGAUGGUGAACUAUGCCUGAAUAGGGCGAAGCCAGAGGAAACUCUGGUGGAGGCUCGUAGCGGUUCUGACGUGCAAAUCGAUCGUCAAAUUUGGGUAUAGGGGCGAAAGACUAAUCGAACCAUCCUAGUAGCUGGUUCCUGCCGA